ACAAUGCGGACUGUUAGUCUUGCAAUUGGAUUGAGAACAACGUACAACUCUUAUCGAUAAGCCAUUGGAGGGCAAGUCUGGUGCCAGCAGCCGCGGUAAUUCCAGCUCCAAUAGCGUAUAUUAACGUUGUUGCAGUUAAAAAGCUCGUAGUUGAAGUGAGGGAGUGUGUAGUAGGACCGACUUGAUCGGAACUGCUGCAACCUCCCCCCUCCAAUCGGUGUAGUGGGGUAUUCACUUAUUCUACUACUCCUUUGGUCGUUUACUGUGAGAAAAUUAGAGUGUUCAAAGCGGGCGUUUGUUUGAAUAGAUUAGCAUGGAAUAAUGAUUGAAGGCUUUCGUGUUCGAUUUGAUUGGUUUGUUCAUGGAAGCAAGGUUAAAAGGAACAGUUGGGGGUAUUCAUAUUCACUAGUUAGAGGUGAAAUUCUCGGAUUUAUGGAAGAUGAAC
rnacentral:rRNA from 1 species